GCAUAAUCACUAGUCUUUUAAUUGGAGGCUUGUAUGAAUGGUUGAAUGAGAUAUAUACUGUCUUUUUUAAAAUUAUAUAGAAUUUUAUUUUUUAAUUAAAAAGUUAAAAUAAAAUUAAAGGACGAGAAGACCCUAUAGAUCUUUAUUUUUGUUAUUUAUAAAUUAAAAAGAAUUUUAAAAUUUAUAAUUUAAUAAAAAAUUUUAUUGGGGUGAUAUUAAAAUUUAAAAAACUUUUAAAAUUUAUUAACAUAAAUAUAUGAAUAAAUGAUCCAGUUUUAUUGAUUAAAAAUUUAAGUUACCUUAGGGAUAACAGCGUAAA
rnacentral:rRNA from 1 species